rnacentral:rRNA from 1 species
AACGAACGCUGGCGGCAUGCCUAACACACGCAAGUCGAACGAGACCUUCGGGUCUAGUGGCGCACGGGUGCGUAACGCGUGGGAACCUUCCCUUAGGUUCGGAAUAACUCCCCGAAAGGGGUGCUAAUACCGGAUAAUGUCUUCGGACCAAAGAUUUAUCGCCUUUGGAUGGGCCCGCGUUGGAUUAGCUAGUUGGUAGGGUAAAAGCCUACCAAGGCGCCGAUCCAUAGCUGGUCUGAGAGGAUGAUCAGCCACACUGGGACUGAGACACGGCCCAGACUCCUACGGGAGGCAGCAGUGGGGAAUAUUGGACAAUGGGCGAAAGCAUGAUCCAGCAAUGCCGCGUGAGUGAUGAAGGCCUUAGGGUUGUAAAGCUCUUUUACCCGGGAUGAUAAUGACAGUACCGGGAGAAUAAGCUCCGGCUAACUCCGUG